ACUCCUACGGGAGGCAGCAGUGGGGAAUUUUGGACAAUGGGGGCAACCCCGAUCCAGCAAUGCCGCGUGUGUGAAGAAGGCCUUCGGGUUGUAAAGCACUUUUGUCCGGAAAGAAAUCGCGCUGGCUAAUACCUGGCGUGGAUGACGGUACCGGAAGAAUGAGCACCGGCUAACUACGUGCCAGCAGCCGCGGUAAU
rnacentral:rRNA from 1 species